GCGAGGGUAGCCAAGCUAGGCCAACGGCGCAGGACUUAAGAUCCUGUCCCAUAGGGGUCCGUGGGUUCAAAUCCCAUCCCUCGCA
rnacentral:tRNA from 1 species